rnacentral:lncRNA from 1 species
CUGGAAGUGCCAAUACAGCUCAUAAAGUCCCAAGCUCAUAAAGUCUGAGUAUGAAAUUCAGAGACUAGAGUGUCUGAAACAAUACCACACAGAGAAAGAGACAUUCUUUUUCACACUUGGAAAAAACAGCUUUGCAUGAUGGAGUGAGAAUCCUCCCAAGAUGCUUGUCUAGGCGAGAACGUGCAGCUGCUGCCACCUCGUCACAGAUGACGGAUAAUUAGGAUGAUGGAGACUGAAAGCCUCAUCCCAUAGGUGACCCGGAAGAAAGGCCUUGGCAUCCAGACUGGGAAAAGGCUGGAUUCCCCAGAGGAAAUGACUCAGCUGCAGCAACUGAGUGGGCUGUGCGCUCCUGUCUGCUCAUCAUCUACCACUCAUUCCUACAGCAGUAGCAGUCUCUCCUCACAUCCACCUGCCAAAA